GACCGUUCUGGUGGCUCAAGUGGUUAGAGCAUCGGCCUGGGAUGCGAGAGUCGUGGGUUCGAAACCCUGCUGAGUCA